GAUGAACGCUAGCGGCAGGCUCAACACAUGCAAGUCGAGGGGUAUAGGUUUUCGGACCUAGAGACCGGCGCACGGGUGCGUAACGCGUAUGCAAUCUACCUUUCACAGAGGGAUAGCCCAGAGAAAUUUGGAUUAAUACCUCAUAGUAUAGCAGUUUCGCAUGAAACCACUAUUAAAGUUCCAACGGUGAAAGAUGGGCAUGCGUCCCAUUAGCUAGAUGGUAAGGUAACGGCUUACCAUGGCUACGAUGGGUAUGGGUCCUGAGAGGGAGAUCGCCCACACUGGUACUAAGACACGGAACAGACUCCUACGGGAGGCAGCAGUGAGGAAUAUUGGUCGAUGGACGCAAGUCUGAACCAGCCAUGCCGCGUGCAGGAUGACGGUCCUAUGGAUUGUAAACUGCUUUUGUACGAGAAGAAACAACAUUACGUGUAAUGUCUUGACGGUAUCGUAAGAAUAAGGAUCGGCUAACUCCGUGCCAGCCGCCGCCGUAAUAC
rnacentral:rRNA from 1 species